GGGUAAUCCACACUCUACUAAGAAAGAACUAGCUCUAAUAUCUCAAGUUAGUGUAGUUGCGAAAAACUAUCACGGACACAAAAUACAGACUUGAAAUCUAACAAGAAGUUCAAGAAGAAGUGGCAGAACUAGAUUAAACAGAUGAGUACAAGAACAACACCAGAAAGAUGAGCUAAAACUCCAAGAGAUGUGUUGUCGAGACU
rnacentral:lncRNA from 1 species